AUCAGGACAAACAUGGGGAGCAAGCAGGGCAUCGUUACUAAAUAUAUAUUGGGCACUAAUGAGAUCUGUCUUUGAUUAUGGGUGUAUAGCAUAUAUGUCAUCAGCAGAAUCUAAUGUUAAAGCAUUGGAUGUCAUGCAAGCUCAGGCUUUAAGGAUAUGUAGUGGAUCUUUUAAAACUUCCCCAGUGUCUUCUAUGCAAGUGGAAAUGGGUGAGAUGCCUUUGAGCAUCAGAAGGAUACAACUGAUGUUGGCAUACUGGGUUAAUGUGAGGGGACAAGUUGAUAGCCACCCAGCUAAAGCUAUCUUAAAAGAAUGCUGGGAACACAUUCCAAUAUCUCCUGAUUCACACUCCAGCCCAGUCGGUGGCGGUAAAUGCACCGUUAAGUUGGUUUGCCAACCGCCAAAAAAA